UACAGAGGUCUCAAGCGUUGUUCGGAUUCAUUGGGCGUAAAGGGUGCGUAGGCGGCGCGGUAAGUCGGGUGUGAAAUCUCGGAGCUUAACUCCGAAACUGCAUUCGAUACUGCCUGUGCUUGAGGACUGGAGAGGAGACUGGUAAAUUUGCGGUGUAGCGGUGAAAUGCGUAGAUAUCGUAAGGAAGACCAGUGGCGAAGGCGGGUCUCUGGACAGUUCCUGACGCUGAGGCACGAAGGUCAGGGGGAGCAAACGGG
rnacentral:rRNA from 1 species